UAGGGAAUCUUCCACAAUGGACGCAAGUCUGAUGGAGCAACGCCGCGUGAGUGAAGAAGGUUUUCGGAUCGUAAAGCUCUGUUGUUGGUGAAGAAGGAUAGAGGCAGUAACUGGUCUUUAUUUGACGGUAAUCAACCAGAAAGUCACGGCUAACUACGUGCCAGCAGCCGCGGUAAUACGUAGGUGGCAAGCGUUGUCCGGAUUUAUUGGGCGUAAAGCGAGCGUAGGCGGAAUGAUAAGUCUGAUGUGAAAGCCCACGGCUCAACCGUGGAACUGCAUCGGAAACUGUCAUUCUUGAGUGCAGAAGAGGAGAGUGGAAUUCCAUGUGUAGCGGUGGAAUGCGUAGAUAUAUGGAAGAACACCAGUGGCGAAGGCGGCUCUCUGGUCUGCAACUGACGCUGAGGCUCGAAAGCAUGUGUAGCGAACAGG
rnacentral:rRNA from 1 species